rnacentral:misc_RNA from 1 species
GUAUUAUGUGCGUUUAUAGCAAUGUACAUUCUGAACUUUAAGUGUUUGUAAAAAAAGGCAGUCUAGUCAAUCUGACCAAACCACCAGGGGUGCACAGGUGUAAAAUGGAGUGAGCGGAGCGUGCACAUAUGCCUCCGAGAAGGCCAGCUACAACCCCUUUCAAACUCAUUAAUGAUCCUUCCGCAGGUUCACCUACGGAAA